rnacentral:rRNA from 1 species
CCCUUAGACGUUCUGGGCCGCACGCGCGCUACACUGACCAGUGCAACAAGCAUCCGUCCUUGGCCGACAGGCCCGGGUAAUCUUUGAAACUGCAUCGUGAUGGGGCUAGAUUAUUGCAAUUAUUAAUCUUCAACGAGGAAUGCCUAGUAAGCGUGAUUCAUCAAAUCGCGUUGAUUACGUCCCUGCCCUUUGUACACACCGCCCGUCGCUCCUACCGAUUGAAUGUGUUGGUGAGGAGCUCGGAUUGGCAGCAGUUGGUGGUUCGCCACCGGCUAUUGCUGAGAAGUCCUCCAAACCGCCCCAUUUAGAGGAAGGAGAAGUCGUAACA